GGACGGCUUCCGGGAUUUGGCGGGGCCUUUGUCUCUAGCUGCUGCGGGAGCUCCAGGUCUAGUCUUUACUGCUCUGUGUAUUCUGCUCCUAGAGGCCCAGCUUCUGUGGCUCCGUUAUCUGCAGGUAUUGGGAGAUGCACAGCUAAGAUGCCAGGACCACCUGGAAGCCUAGAAAUGGGACCACUGACAUUUAGGGAUGUGGCCAUAGAAUUCUCUCUGGAGGAGUGGCAAUGCCUGGACACUGCACAACGGAAUUUAUAUAGGAAAGUGAUGUUUGAGAACUACAGAAACCUGGUCUUCCUGGGUAUUGCUGUCUCUAAGCCUCACCUGAUAACCUGUUUGGAGCAAGGAAAAGAGCCCUGGAAUAGGAAGAGACAGGAGAUGGUAGCCAAACCCCCAGUUAUAUAUUCUCAUUUCACUGAAGACCUUUGGCCAGAGCAUAGCAUAAAAGAUUCUUUUCAAAAAGUGAUACUGAGAGGAUACGGAAAAUGUGGACAUGAGAAUUUACAAUUAAGAAUAAGUUGUAAAAGUGUGGAUGAGUCUAAGGUGUUCAAAGAAGGUUAUAAUGAACUUAACCAAUGUUUGACAACUACCCAGAGCAAAAUAUUUCAAUGUGAUAAAUACGUGAAAGUCUUUCAUAAAUUUUCAAAUUCAAACAGUCAUAAGAAAAGAAAUACUGGAAAGAAGUUUUUCAAAUGUAAAGAAUGUGGCAAAUCAUUUUGCAUGCUUUCACAUCUAACACAACAUAUAAGAAUUCACACUAGAGAGAAUUCUUACAAAUGUGAGGAAUGUGGCAAAGUUCUUAACUGGUUCUCAGAGCUUAUUAAACAUAAGGGAAUUCAUAUGGGAGAGAAACCCUACAAAUGUGAGGAAUGUGGCAAAGCCUUUAACCAAUCCUCAACCCUUAUUAAACAUAAGAAAAUUCAUAUUGAAGAGAAACCCUUCAAAUGUGAAGAAUGUGGCAAAGCCUUUAGUUUAUUCUCAAUCCUUAGUAAACAUAAAAUAAUUCAUACUGGAGACAAACCUUACAAAUGUGAUGAAUGUCACAAAGCCUUUAACUGGUUUGCAACCCUUACUAACCAUAAGAGAAUUCAUACUGGAGAGAAACCCUUCAAAUGUGAAGAAUGUGGCAAAGAUUUUAACCAGUUUUCAAACCUUACUAAACAUAAGAAAAUUCAUACUGGAGAGAAACCCUACAAAUGUGAAGAAUGUGGCAAAGCUUUUAACCAGUUUGCAAACCUUACUAGACAUAAGAAAAUUCAUACUGGAGAGAAAUCCUACAAAUGUGAAGAAUGCGGCAAAGCUUUUAUACAGUCCUCAAACCUUACUGAACAUAUGAGAAUUCAUACUGGAGAGAAACCCUACAAAUGUGAAGAAUGUGGCAAAGCUUUUAAUGGGUGCUCCAGCCUUACUCGACAUAAGAGAAUUCACACUAGAGAGAAUACCUACAAAUGUGAAGAAUGUGGCAAAGGCUUUACUUUAUUUUCAACCCUUACUAACCAUAAAGUAAUUCAUACUGGAGAGAAAUCCUACAAAUGUGAUGAAUGUGGCAAUGUUUUUAACUGGCCUGCAACUCUUGCUAAUCAUAAGAGAAUUCAUGCUAGAGAGAAACCCUACAAAUGUGAAGAAUGUGGCAAAGCUUUUAACCGGUCCUCACACCUUACUAGACAUAAGAAAAUUCAUACUGGUGAGAAACUCUACAAAUCUGAAAAAUGCGACAAUAAUUUUGAUAACACCUAAAACUUUUCUAAACAUAAAAGACACCAUCCUGUUGAGAAACCCUAAAAAUGUGAAGAAUUUGACAAAGCCUUCCAGUGAUUGUUACACUUGCUUGUAGGAGCCCCUUGCAGAACUCAAGAGCUAGACAUUAGAAAAGACAACUUUGAAACUGAAAUUUGAUUUUGUGAAGUUUGUUGAAGAUGUUGGAGGUUUAAAACACUUGAUAUUCUGAAAUAAAAUUUUAAAUUACCGUAAGUUAUUUGUUUUGCUAAAAUGAUGACUUAAAAUUUGAAAAAGCAAAACCUUUUACUAGCUCUUAUUAUUACAUAAAAAUUUUGAUUGGCUAGGUGUGGUGGCUCACGCCUGUAAUCCCAGCACUUUGGGAGGCCUAGGAGGGUGGAUCAUGAAGUCAGGAAAUCAAGACCAUCCUAGCCAACAUGGUGAAAUCCCGUCUCUACUAAAAAUAAAAAAAGUAGCUGGGUGUGGUGGCAAGUGCCUGUAGUCCCAGCUACCCAGGAGGCUGAGGCAGGAGAAUAGCUUGAACCCAGAAGGCGGAGGUUGCAGUGAGCUGAGAUCACACCACUGCACUCCAGCCUGGGUGACAGAGCGAGAAUCUAUCUUAAAAAAAAAAAAAAAAAUUUUUUUUUUAAUUAAAAGAAAGAAAGCUAAAUUUUACUUUUGCAUACUGUUAAUGUUAACCCCAAUUUUAAUGAAACCUUAUAAACAAUUUUCUUCAAUUUUAACUAAUUAGACCAUGAGGUGAGAGUUUUAUAAACCUUUUAUAACUCUUUACAAAUUUUGCUAAGAAUUGAUUAGUGCUUUAAUAAAACCUUGUUUGUAUUUUAAUGCUUAAUUUGAAAAACUAUAUAAUAUCCUUUUGAAUUUUAGUUGAUAUCUUUACAUACAGAAUUUUUUUGCAAGAUUAAUUUUUAUUUAUUUAUUAUUUUUUUGUUUUGUUUUGUUUUUGUUUUUGUUUUUGUUUUUUUAUUGAUCAUUCUUGGGUGUUUCUCGCAGAGGGGGAUUUGGCAGGGUCACAGGACAAUAGUGGAGGGAAGGUCAGCAGAUAAACAAGUGAACAAAGUUCUCUGGUUUUCCUAGGCAGAGGACCCUGCGGCCUUCCGCAGUGUUUGUGUCCCUGGGUACUUGAGAUUAGGGAGUGGUGAUGACUCUUAACGAGCAUGCUGCCUUCAAGCAUCUGUCUAACAAAGCACAUCUUGCACCGCCCUUAAUCCAUUCAACCCUGAGUGGAUACAGCACAUGUUUCAGAGAGCACAGGGUUGGGGGUAAGGUCACAGAUCAACAGGAUCCCAAGGCAGAAGAAUUUUUCUUAGUACAGAACAAAAUGAAAAGUCUCCCAUGUCUACCUCUUUCUACACAGACACGGCAACCAUCCGAUUUCCCAAUCUUUUCCCCACCUUUCCCCCCCAUUUCACAAAACCGCCAUUGUCAUCAUGGCCCGUUCUCAAUGAGCUGUUGGGUACACCUCCCAGACGGGGUGGCGGCUGGGCAGAGGGGCUCCUCACUUCCCAGUAGGGGCGGCCGGGCAGAGGCGCCCCUCACCUCCCGGAUGGGGCAGCUGGCCGGGCAGGGGGCUGACCCCCCCCACCUCCCUCCUGGACGGGGCGGCUGGCCGGGCAGAGGGGCUCCUCACUUCCCCGACGGGGCGGCCGGGCAGAGGCGCCCCUCACCUCCCGGACGGGGCGGCUGGCCGGGCGGGGGGCUGACCCCCCCACCUCCCUCCCGGACGGGGCGGCUGGCCGGGCAGAGGGGCUCCUCACUUCCCAGUAGGGGCGACCGGGCAGAGGCGCCCCUCACCUCCCGGACGGGGCGGCUGGCCAGGUGGGGGACUAACCCCCCCACCUCCCUCCCGGAUGGGGCGGCUGGCUGGGCAGGGGGCUGACCCCCCCACCUCCCUCCCGGACGGGGCGGAUGGCCGGGCAGGGGGCUGACCCCCCGACCUCCCUCCCAGAUGGAGCGGCUGGCCGGGCAGAGGGGCUCCUCUCUUCCCAGUAGGGGUGGCCGAGCAGAGGCAUCCCUCACCUCCCGGACGGGGCGGCUGGCCGGGCAGAGAGGCUCCUCACUUCCCAGUAGGGGCCGCCAGGCAGAGGCGCCCCUCACCUCCCAGACGGGGUGGCUGGCCAGGCGGGGGGCUGACCCCCCCACCUCCCUUCCGGACGGGGCGGCCGGCCGGGCGGGGGGCUGACCCCCUCACCUCCCUCCUGGACGGGGCGGCUGGCCGGGUGGGGGGCUGACCUCCCCCCUCCCUCCCAGACGGAGCGGCUGGCCAGGCAGAAGGGAUCCUCACUUCCCAGUAGGGGCGGCCGGGCAGAGGUGCCCCUCACCUCCCGGACAGGGCGGCUGGCUGGGCGGGGGGCUGAUCCCCCCACCUCCCUCCCGGACGAGGUGGCUGCCGGGCGGAGACGCUACUCACUUCCCAGACAGGGUGGCUGCUGGGCGGAGGGGCUCCUCACUUCUCAGACGGGGCGGUUGACAGGCAGAGGGUCUCCUCACUUCUCAGACGGGGCGGCCGGGCAGAGACGCUCCUCACAUCCCGGACGGGGCGGCAGGGCAGAGGUGUCCCCCCACAUCUCAGACGAUGGGUGGCCGGGCAGAGACACUCCUCACUUCCCAGAUGUGAUGGCGGCCGGGAAGAGGCGCUCCUCACUUCCUAGAUGGAAUGGCGGCCGCGCAGAGACGCUCCUCACCUUCCAGACUGGGCAGCCAGGCAGAGAGGCUCCUCACAUCCCAGACGAUGGGCGGCCAGGCGGAGAUGCUCCUCACUUCCCAGAUGGGGUGGCGGUUGGGCAGAGGCUGCAAUCUCGGCACUUUGGGAGGCCAAGGCAGGCGGCUGGGAGGUGGUUGUAGCCAGCCGAGAUCACGCCACUGCACUCCAGCCUGGGCGCCAUUGAGCAUUGAGUUAACGAGACUCCGUCUGCAAUCCCGGCACCUCAGGAGGCCGAGGCUGGCAGAUCACUCGCGGUUAGAAGCUGGAGACCAGCCCGGCCGACACAGCGAAACCCCGUCUCCACCAAAAAAAUUACAAAAACCAGUCAGGCGUGGCGGCGCGCGCCUGCAAUCGCAGGCACUGGGCAGGCUGAGGCAGGAGAAUCAGGCAGGGAGGUUGCAGUGAGCUGAGAUGGCAGCAGUACUGUCCAGCUUCGGCUGGGCAUCAGAGGGAGACCGUGGAAAGAGAGGGAGAGGGAGACCGUGGAAAGAGAGGGAGAGGGAGAGGGAGACCGUGGGGAGAGGGAGAGGGAGUGGGAGAGGGAGAGGGAGAGCAAGAUUAAUUUUUACAAUUCUUUUUUUUUACAAUUUGCUUAAAGCUUUUGCUUUAAGACUUUUUUUAUUUUUAGGCAAAACGUACUUUUAAAAAAGAUUUUACUAAAAACACAUUUUACUGCUUUUGCAUACCUUGCAUGUAAAUUUUUUUUAGUAGUUUUAAUUAUAUGUUAUAAUGAUAACUUUCAGCAAUUUUUAACUUGAAUGUAAAACCUGGUAAAUUGUUUUAGUUAUGUUCUAGGUGCAGAUGAAUUUUGACUUUUUUUAGCAUAGUUAGGGGCACAUACGCUUUUUGGCCUUACUCAUUGUGAAGCAGGCAAAUAGAACAGUUUUUAAAGGCCAAAGGAGCAGUUUACAACCUUAAAACAUUUAGCAAAUUUAAUAUUUGGCCAGAAUAAUUUUGAUUACCUAUUUACAUUUUGAAGACAUUUAUACUUUAUUAAUAAGUUUUAAGGCUGAUUUUAUUUUUUAAAGAUUAAAGUUACAUAAACUGAAAGGUACCACAGCCUUCAUUUAAAAGAAAUUGAUUUAAGCACUUAUUUUUAAUUAGAGCUUUUUUAAAUAGACAUUACACACACAACACAUGUAUAACCACACAGAAAAAAAAAGAUUUAGUAGUUACAAGAUUUUUUACUUGCCAGUUUUUAACUGGAUUAUUGGCCUCUGGGUAAAGCCCUUUAGGAACAAGGCUAGAAAUACAGUUUUUAUUUACAGGGCUAGGAAUACAGUUUUUAGGGAUUUUAUUAGAAAAAUUUUUUUUAAAUGAGAUUUGUGGUGUUCUUGUUUUUAAGAAGUUUUGGGCCACCAGAAAUUAUUUUAGGACCUUUUAUGAAUGGACCAAGAAUGGCAAGGCACAGUGGAGAAAAGUCAUUUAGUUGACUGAGAAGAAAUUUUUUUUUUUUUUUUUUUUUUUGUUGGAGACGGAGUUUUGCUCUUGUUGCCCAGGCUGGAGUGCAAUGGUGCGAUCUCGGCUCACUGCAACCUCUGCCUCCUGUGUUCAAACGAUUUUCCUGCCUCAGCCUGCUGAGUAGCUGGGACUACAGGCACACGCCACCAAGCCCAGCUAAUUUUUGUAUUUUUUUUUUAGUAGAGAAGGGGUUUCACCAUCUUGGCCAGGAUGAUCUCGAUCUCUUGACCUUGUGAUCCACCUGCCUUGACCUCCCAAAGUGCUGGGAUUACAGGCAUGAGCCACUGUGCCCAGCCCCUUAAGAAACUUUUUUUAGAAAAGAUUUAUGAAGAGUAAAACAUGAAACCUUUUUAAAUAUAUUUAUAGCUUGGAUAUUUAUUUUUAAUAGUGCUUUUUUUUUUUUUGGAGACGAAGUCUUGCUCUUCUGGGCUGAAGUGCAAUGGUGCGAUCUUGGCUCACUGCAACCUCCGCCUCCCAGGGUCAAGUGAUUCUCCUGCCUCAGCCUCCCGAGUAGCUGGGAUUACAGGUGCCCACCACCAUGCCCGGCUAAUUUUUGUAUUUUUAGUAGAGAUGGGGUUUCACCAUGUUGGCCAGGCUGGUCUCAAACUACUGACCUCAGGUAAUCUGCCUGCCUUGGCGUCCCAAAGUGCUGGGAUUACAGUGGUGAGCCGCUGUGCCUAGCCAAUAAUGCUUUUUAAGAAUUUUUUUUAUUAAUUAAAACUUCACAGAGAAUAUAAACAGUAAUUUUACCAUUUUUUUCCUAGUUUGCACCACUACCUGUUUACAAUUAUGUUUAGGUUUUUUUAGAGGGUUUUUUUGAAGAAAGUGUCCGGGUUUGGGCAAGGGCAAGGUUUUUUUGUUUGUUUGUUUUACUAAAGAUUUUUUUUAGCAGCAAAGCUUGAUAUUUGAGGCGGUGAUGGCCAGAGACUAUUUUUUAGUGGACAACAGUUUUGCAGUACUGUGUGAGGUGUAAACAGUUAAGUUAUUUUCCAUGGUUAGCCCACUUGCUGUUGAGUCAGACCUUGAGCCUUAGCCAAAACUUUUAGGGCUAUUUUCUCUUUUCUUUUGAUACAUAGAAAUUAAAUACCUGAGGGCAUCAGCCCUCAGUCUUCCCACAGAGACUGUGCUUUAGCUGGUUAAAAGUUUUUGUGUUUUAGGUUUUAUUUUAUUUUUUUGAGACGGUGUCUUGCUCUGUCACCCAGGCUAGAGUGCAGUGGCCCAAUCUUGGCUCACUGUAACCUCUGCCUCCUGCGUUUCAGCAAUUCUCCUGCCUUAGCCUCCCAAGUAGCUGGGAUUACAGGCACCUGCCACAGUGCCUAGGUAAUUUUUGUAUUUUUAGUAGAGAUGGGGUUUUACUGCGUUGACCAGGCUGGUCUCGAAUUCCUGACCUUGUGAUCCACCCACCUUGGCCUCCCAAAGUGCUGGGAUUACAGGCAUGAGCCACCGUGCCUGGCCUGUGUUUUAGGUUUUUAAGUUAGGAAGUGAGUUUUAGCUGUUUAUAUUUUUGUUUGUUUGUUUGUUUUUUAUGAGGUGAUACAAAGGAUGAGCUAUUUUACCAACCCAGGUAUUUAUAAUUUACAAAAACCUGUAAUGCCUUAAAAUUCUUUUAGCUCUUUGAGGGUUUUGGGAAAGAGGAAAGAAGGAAAUAGGCUUAUUUAUUUAUUUAUUUAUUUAUUUUGCUUCAUGCUUUAGUUUUUGUUUUUUGUUUUUUUUUCUUUGAGAUGGAGUCUCUGUUGCCUAGGCUGGAGUGCAGUCGUGUGAUCUUGGCUCACCACAACUCCGCCUCCCAGGUUCAAGCAAUUCUCCUGCCUCAGCCUCCCGAGUAGCUGGGACUACAGGCGCACACCACCAUGCCAGGCUAAUUUUUGUAUUUUAGUAGAGACAGGGUUUGACUAUGUUGGUCAGGCUGGUCUCGAACUCCUGACCUCGUGAUCCGCCUGCCUCGGCCUGUCAAAGUGCUGGGAUUAUAGGCGUGAGCCACCACACCUGUCUGCUUUAGUUUUUUUUUGACAAGACUGGACUUAAGUACCUCACUGAAGUUUGAACUGAGCUUUAGAUUUGGAUAUUUUCUAUUUUUUACCUGCUAGAAAAUUAAAAAGAACCUUAGCGCCUUUUUGAAAGACCCCCUCAGUUGGGGCACGGAGGAAAGUGUUAUUUACAUACUGCAAAGUUUUAAAUUGUGGCUGAGCAAAAUUAGAUUUUUGGAAACAGCCUGUUUUUGUAACUUUUUUUUUUUAAUAUUAAGGGCUGCCUGAAUAAUAAACCUGUUUUUUUAUUGAGUUGGGAUACAGGUAGGUGUUUUUAUUAAAGCUUUUUUUAGGCUAUUUAAAAAGGUGGCAGGGCGGGGGUGCGUUAUUUGGUUUUUGAUUUAGCAAGGACAGUUUAGAGUUACUAAGAGGUUUGGUUUUGGUUUUUUGCAAGCUUUUUAAAAUGCAUAUUAGAAAGUUUUUUUUUAAUUACGUAUUUAUGGGAUCACCAAGACUUUAAUUAGGUUUUUAAGGGGCAUUGUUUUAUUUUAAUUGGGAAUAGGGAUCUUGUUCUACCCUUUUUUCCUUGGGGCUUUUUUGUUGUUGUUGUUUUUUGACUGGCUAGGUCUCCAAUUUGUAAGAUGGCUGUGCCCUUAUGCAAGAGAAUAUAAGUCUUUUUUUUUUUUUUUUUUUUUUUAGAGUUUUACGGUUAAAGGAGCUUUAGUAAUUUAGAAUACACUUGAGGGGAGUAUAGGCUGCAGAUGGUCUGUUGCCCAUCUAGAACAAGAGGGAGAAACAAAGCUUUCCUUAGUUCCUUUUCUCCCUUUUGUGUGACCCAGGGUGGAGAGCAAGAGAGAAGGGGCAUCCUCUUUCUCCUCCUUCUCUCUCUCCUUUGGGUUCAGGCUACCAUGAUAGGUGCUGCAACAUGGAUACAAGCGUGACCUUUACCCAUGUUCCUGGAGAAGCUAGUCGGCAGGAUUUAGUUACACUUACCUGCUUAAAAUUCUAGCCUUUUGCCCUGCUGGAUUUCUAGACCCACUCAGCCCAAAAGGCUCCCAGGGUACCCCAGAUGUUGGAAGAAAGUAUAUAGUAGUUGGAUUUGGGCAAGAUUUUUUAAUGAAGGGAAUGUUUUAAUACUAUUUUUGGCUUUCCUUGCUAUGGCCCCAGUGAAGAAUUAAAAAAGCACAAAGUAAGACUGAUUAACUUUUAUACAUAAAAUUUCUGUCUCGUUUGAAUGCCAGUGUAAUUGAAUGCAGAACAGAUGCCUUAAAAGUGUAAAAAUUGAAUGGCUGCCUUUCUUUAUUGGGGACAGUAUUGAAGCUAAGAUUUGUCUUAUUAGGAUGGCUUCCUCCUGGCUGUUGAAAGUGGAGUUUUUCUGUUUACACAUAGGAUGUGGGGCCUGAUUACUGAUAGACAUAAAAGGGAAAAGAAUGGAAGAUGAGAGGUUUUGGGCAAAGGGCUGACAAGGCUCCCCAUGGAGAAAAAUUCUAUUCCAUUAUGUGGCACUGCAGGAUUAGAAGUGUUAGGUAAAAACUCUGACUCCAAAUUCUUUUUAGGCAAAAGUUAGGUUUGGGGUUGGAUAGGCUAUUAUUAUAGUAUGCCCCCCAGCAUAAGAAAAUCAACUGUUCAAACUCAUUGGACAAUGCUGAACUUUUACAUGGAGGGAAGAAACAAAUGGAGAGGGGGAGGGUAUUUACAUGAGGUGACCUUCCCCUAUACAGUGCCAUAAAUGUCUAUUACUGGGGACAAAACGCCCUUACUAGAAAAUUUAGACUGAAAUCCCAAAGUCCCCCUAUCUCAAGGAAUCACAAAAAUGGCAAUUUUUUUAAGUUACAUUCCUAAGACACUGACUAACUCUACCCAACAAGAUUAUAUCUUUAGGUUGCAGAAACAUCCAUGACAUUGUAUACAAAGAAGGGAUAGGAGGCAUAAUAGCCACCAUAGAAAAGGAAAAUGCAAUAGGAAAAGACUGGAAGUCCUUGUGCUGACACCCUGACAGGCUGUUGGGGACUAGAGUUAGUCCAAAGGCCUUUAGAUAACACUGAGGUAUAGCCCAAGCCAGAAAAUUUUAGUUGCCCUAGGACCCCCUUUUAAUUCCAUGUAAUGGCUUAGGUCCUCUGUGAAAAGUAGCUAGAUUGGAAUAGACAAGAAGUCCUAAAAAUGAAAGUAAAGGGUUAAAGUUAAACCACGUUGUAAGUGACUGAUUAGUAAUUCCAGUCUGUUUCAUUUUUAGUCACGUAGCGAGUAUACAGGAAAUUUAUUAGCUCUCAUUUUUUAUUCUGUUAGAUCAUGAUUAGUGUUAAGCCUGAAAACAAGCUGGCCACAUCAGUAGUUCGUAACCCAUGUUAAUUCUAAUCAGUCAAUCUGGGGCUAUAAUAGUAGUUAAAUGUUUUUAAUACUAUCCUUGGCAGAUUCACAUACAGCAUAAAUAUAAAUAUUAUGGUAACAUUUCUCAUUGAGUACUGUUCUUUAGCACUCCAGUAAAUUUAAAUGUAGUUUAAAAAUACAUAUUCAUGCUUGAACCCAGGAGGCGGAGUUUGCAGUGAGCUGAGAUUGCACGACUGCACUCCAGCCUGGGCAACAGAGCAAGACUCUGUCUCAAAAAAAAAAAAAGUAUGUAUGUAUAUAUACAUAUAUAUAUACAUUUUUAAAUAUAUAUAUUCAAAUAACUUGUUUCUCUAACAAGUGAAGGAAAUAAUUUACUUAGACAUUUAGAGAGAAUUUUACUCAAAACAGUAGCUUUAGAGCCUUUUAAAGUAUUUUAUUAUUUUGAACAUUAAAAAUCAAGAAAAUUUAUUCUUGAGUGUUGGGUUCAUACUAUUCAUAACAUUAAAAGUUUACUAAUGUACAUCACUAAAUGAGCAAACCAGUCGAAAUAAAAAAAUAUGUGUGUGUGUGUGUGUGUGUGUGUGUGUGUGUGUGUGUCCUGGAAUUUUAAGAUGAAAAAAACACUUUUUUCUCUGGCCCAAUUCUUAAAGUUUAUUUCUCUCUUUUUUCUAAGAAAAGUAUUAAUAGUAUUUUUAAAUGGCAAAUCAGAGUUGUAUACAUUUAUGGGGUACAAUGUGAUAUUUUAAUAUACCUAUAUAAUAUGGAUGGCUCAUGCCUGUAAUCCCAGCUACUUGGGAGGCUGAGGCAGGAGAAUCACGUGAACCCAGGAGACAGAGGUUGCGGUGAGCCAUUGCACUCCAGCCUGGGUGACAAGAGCGAAACUCCAUCUCAAAAAAAAAAAAUAGAAUAAUUGAGUUGAAUAACAUAUGUAUAUCAACUCACUUACCUAUCCUUUGUGGUGAGACAUUUGAAAUUUACUCUGUUAUUUUGAAAUACACAAUAUAUUGUUGUUUACUAUACACAAUACAUUAUUGUUUACUAUAGUCCCUGCUGUGCAAUAGAUCUCAAAACCUAUUUACCCUAUUUGAAACUUUGUACCCUCUGAUGAACAACUCUCUAUUUACUUCCAGCCACCCCCAGUCUCUGGUAACCAUUACUCCACUUUCUACUUUUUUGAGUUAAACUUUAUUAAAUUCUACAUAUAAACGAGAUUAUGCACCAUUUGUCUUUCUGUGUCUGGCUUAUUUCAUCUAGCAUAGUGUCUUCUAAAUUUAUCGUUUCAAAUAGUGGGAUUUACCCUUUCUUGACGCUGAAUAGUAUUUCAUUGUUUAUACCACAUUUUUAAAAUAAUUAAUAUAAAUAUAUAUUUGUCUAUUGGUUGAAAAAGUCAUGUCUUAGGGAAAAAUAUUUCUGUGUUAAAGCAUGUAUUAAUGUAAUUUAGCAUAUAAUUAUCUUAUUAAAAUUACCUAAUUUCUACUGAGUACUGACCAUAACACUAUAUAUGUGUUAAUAAAUUUAAUUCUCACAGUAACUUAAUAACAUGGGUAUCAUUAUUACCCUCAUUUUACCAGAGGAAGAAACAGAGCCACUGAGAGAAAUGACUUGCUCACAAUAGCAGAGCCAAUAUUAAACCACAGGCAACUUUGUCUGCAGAGAGGUAACACUCUUGAGUACAACAAUAAAAAACUUCAAACAGAAAAUAAUUAUUUUAAACUCAUUUUAAAUAAAAAAUUUUUAGAAAUUGAAUAAUUGGA